CUAAGCGUACACGGUGGAUGCCCUGGCAGUCAGAGGCGAUGAAGGACGUGCUAAUCUGCGAUAAGCGCCGGUAAGGUGAUAUGAACCGUUAUAACCGGCGAUUUCCGAAUGGGGAAACCCAGUGUGACUCGUCACACUAUCAUUAACUGAAUCCAUAGGUUAAUGAGGCGAACCGGGGGAACUGAAACAUCUAAGUACCCCGAGGAAAAGAAAUCAACCGAGAUUCCCCCA
rnacentral:rRNA from 8 species